GCUAUCGCGCGGCGACCGGCGGUUUUGCGGUCCGUCGGACGCCAUUAUUAGAAAUCGUGGCCCGUUGGUGUCGCGUUAUUGACGAGUGUCCGAAGGUUCGCGUUAUUUUUACCAAAAUAAAAUAACAAUUUUUACUUUUUUUUCUCACUGGUCGACAAAUUGUCUAAACUCUUCGCGAUCCGUGUCUAUUUUAUGCAUGCAGUAGAAAGUAUUUAGCAAAUAUUUCCAAAGGGAAAAAUUCAAUUCUCAAACCUGCAGAGGGAUAUACACCCUUCCCUCAUC